rnacentral:lncRNA from 1 species
UGACAGAGUGGGAGAAUGUGAUUAGUGAGUAGUUCUUUCCACCAACUUGAAGAGUCCCAUCACUGUCCUGCUCUGAGGGAUGGAGGAAGGUGGGAAGAGUCUGUGAAAAAAGAACAGCAGGAAUUCAGGGUGAAGAAGAUGUGGACUGUGUCUCCACUGGUUUGCACAAAAGAGAGCUGGCACCAUCUAAUUUUUGUGUGGAAAUCCGAAGAUGUCCUAAGGGCAUGUGAUUCUUGCUUUCCAGUGGAGUACCAGGGUCAGACUUCAGCCCACCUGGAAACUCA